AUUGAACGCUGGCGGAAUGCUUUACACAUGCAAGUCGAACGGCAGCACGGGGGCAACCCUGGUGGCGAGUGGCGAACGGGUGAGUAAUACAUCGGAACGUGCCCAGUCGUGGGGGAUAACGUAGCGAAAGCUACGCUAAUACCGCAUACGAUCUACGGAUGAAAGCGGGGGAUCGCAAGACCUCGCGCGAUUGGAGCGGCCGAUGGCAGAUUAGGUAGUUGGUGGGGUAAAGGCUCACCAAGCCGACGAUCUGUAGCUGGUCUGAGAGGACGACCAGCCACACUGGGACUGAGACACGGCCCAGACUCCUACGGGAGGCAGCAGUGGGGAAUAUUGGACAAUGGGGGCAACCCUGAUCCAGCCAUGCCGCGUGUGUGAAGAAGGCCUCGGUUGUAAG
rnacentral:rRNA from 1 species